UACUUACAUUUCAGCCGAGAAUAAUGCGGAGUGCCCAUUCACUUCGAAAAUAUAAAAAAAUACGAAAGUAGGAUCGAAAAAAUAAAACAUAAAUUAAUGAAAAAUAUGCGCAAAGCGCUUGCUGACGCACCUGAAAAGCUAUCCUUGCCGUGCCAGUGACGUUCCCUUGCCGAUCUCGUGCAUAUCCUUGCCGCACUCUUGCGCAUAUUUGAACGGGAGUCUCUUGCCGACGCCUUGCCGUUCCUUUGCGGCUACAACUCAUUUUACUUGCCGUCCUCUUGCCACUUCAUCAAAUAUCGGCAACUUGCCGAUUUCGACGGCAACGUGCCGCUUGAAUAGCUAACCCUUGCCGUAGCCUUGCGGAAAAUUCCCUGAGUAGUAAUUCGAGUAGGCGCAGGUAAACGGCGCCAAAUGCCUCGUCAUUUAAUUGUUGACGCGUAUGAAUGGAUUAACGAGAUUCCUACUGUCCCUAACUACUAUCUGGCAAAACCACAGCCAAGGAAACGGGCUUGGAAAAAAUAGCGGGGAAAGAAGAUGUUGAUCUUGACUCUAGUUUGGCAUUGUGGAGAGUCAUGGGAGUCUUCGGACGCCAAUGAAAUACCACCACUUUCAUCGACUUUUUACUUGUUCGGUCAAAAAAGAAUUGGUCGCAAGACCUCUUUUCGAAGCAUUAGCAUUUUAUGGCACCGUGACUCUCCCCGAAGACAGUGUCAAGCGGGGAGUUAUGCUGGGGCAGUACAUCUAUCAAAUCGUAACGUAGGUGUCCUAAGGCGAGCUCAGAGAGGACUUCGCCACUGCUUACUGUAGCCCGCAAGAAUAUUGAAUUGAUAAUAAGAAAUUGGGAAAAGGGAGGCAAAAAAAUACUGAUUUUUGUCCACCACUUCAGUAAAAAUGCAAAUUUUCAGCCUAGAUCAAAGUUACCUGUACUCGAAGAAUUGUUCCGACAUGUGCGUCACACUCCGCAUCAACGAUGUGGUUGGAGGCAAGUUUUUUUUUAUUUCUAUUAUUCUCCGU
rnacentral:ncRNA from 1 species